GCGCGCUAAAAGCGAAAAAAGCUUCCGAUUCGCCUUGCAUCCUCGCGGUGCAAUCCUGUAUAAUGGCAGGGCAAUCAGCCGCGCCCAUGUUUGCAGGGGCGCUUUGUUGCGGGCGAUGAGGGGCGGGCCCCGUGCAAGGCCCCGCCGUGAACCGUGUCAGGCCCGGAAGGGAGCAGCACUAAGCGGCCUUCGGGCCUGUGCCGCGGGCAGACCUGCCCGGAACCCGUACAUAGAGCGUCCCUGCAAGCAGGGGGAAAUCGUUUGCAUGCGCGC
rnacentral:SRP_RNA from 1 species